AGAGUUUGAUCCUGGCUCAGGAUGAACGCUAGCGACAGGCUUAACACAUGCAAGUCGAGGGGCAGCACAGGUAGCAAUACCGGGUGGCGACCGGCGCACGGGUGAGUAACGCGUAUGCAACUUACCUAUCAGAGGGGGAUAACCCGGCGAAAGUCGGACUAAUACCGCAUGAAGCAGGGGCCCCGCAUGGGGAUAUUUGCUAAAGAUUCAUCGCUGAUAGAUAGGCAUGCGUUCCAUUAGGCAGUUGGCGGGGUAACGGCCCACCAAACCGACGAUGGAUAGGGGUUCUGAGAGGAAGGUCCCCCACAUUGGUACUGAGACACGGACCAAACUCCUACGGGAGGCAGCAGUGAGGAAUAUUGGUCAAUGGGCGCGAGCCUGAACCAGCCAAGUCGCGUGAGGGAUGAAGGUUCUAUGGAUCGUAAACCUCUUUUAUAAGGGAAUAAAGUGCGGGACGUGUCCUGUUUUGUAUGUACCUUAUGAAUAAGGAUCGGCUAACUCCGUGCCAGCAGCCGCGGUAAUACGGAGGAUCCGAGCGUUAUCCGGAUUUAUUGGGUUUAAAGGGUGCGUAGGCGGCCUUUUAAGUCAGCGGUGAAAGUCUGUGGCUCAACCAUAGAAUUGCCGUUGAAACUGGGGGGCUUGAGUAUGUUUGAGGCAGGCGGAAUGCGUGGUGUAGCGGUGAAAUGCUUAGAUAUCACGCAGAACCCCGAUUGCGAAGGCAGCCUGCCAAGCCAUGACUGACGCUGAUGCACGAAAGCGUGGGGAUCAAACAGGAUUAGAUACCCUGGUAGUCCACGCAGUAAACGAUGAUCACUAGCUGUUUGCGAUACAGUGUAAGCGGCACAGCGAAAGCGUUAAGUGAUCCACCUGGGGAGUACGCCGGCAACGGUGAAACUCAAAGGAAUUGACGGGGGCCC
rnacentral:rRNA from 2 species